ensembl:lncRNA LINC01359 long intergenic non-protein coding RNA 1359
AAACAGGCUCCAAAAGCUUGUUACUUGCUUGUAGUCAAACAGAAGGCAGAGCUGCGAAUCAAAUCCAGGUUUGUCUCGACAUGCCACUAGCUCAUACUUCCCUUGGAUCAGCCACUAAAUGGCUUUCACUCCAGUGAGCAGCGACCAGCACCAGAAUUAUGGAACAUUUAUCAACAGCCUAAAAUAAAGACAACACGAGGAGAAUUUGGUUGCUUAUAUAGAUUCAAGGUACAAUCCUGCUGGAUUCUGGAAGAAAUAUCACAGUGUGCAUGCACAGAAGUACGACCAUGUGAAGAGGUAGCAAGAGAGCAGCAAUCUACAAGCCAAGGAAAGAGGCCACAGAGGAAACCAACCCUGCCAGCAUCUUGAUCUUGGACUUCCAGCUUCCAGAACUAACCAGGGACCCCACUCCCAUGCCGACAGUAUGGGCUGCUGUCUUCAGGACCAUUGCAAGGCUGCAGGAAGACUUAGAGGCAUCAUCCUGCCUUGGCUUCUGGUUGCCAAGGUGUUCUGCCUGAUACCAACUUUGUCAGCAGUCACCAACUAGCCAUGCUUUUCCCUUGAAGGCACAUGUAGAUUGCCUAACCAUCCACACCAGGCAAACAAUUCUUCAAAUGUCAUGCCCUUUGCACUUCUGUUCAGAUCCAGCCUUAGAGAAGCUUGUGAAGCAAUGACUGUUUUAAUUGGUCUCCUGGGUACCCAGGCCUAAUCCUUUACCAAGUCACUAGUUAUCCCAUGUUCCUUAUCUGUCUGUCUAUCCAUCUAUCCUUCCAUCCUCAUCCAAUACUUACAGAAUGCCUAUGGCUGCAAAUACAAGGAUGACUGCUUGGUUCCUGCUGUCCAUAAACUCACAGCCUGGGAUAAGUGUCCUUCACGGUUCGGUUCACAUUUCACAAGCCCCAUGAAGUCUAUCUGGAUUUUCGGUAAUGUUUCCUGUCUCUGAAAUCUUAUGACAUUUAUGUCUGUAUCAGCCAUUUGAUGCUUGAUUAUCUAUUUUUCAGAUGGAUGUCUUGCCUUUUCCUCUACACACUACAGGAAGAGUGGCCACCCCUGCCAAGGGCCUAGUAUAGUACCCUAUACAUGUAGCUGAUCAGUUGAUUGUUACUGAUCAUAUGUAUCCUGCAUCAUGUUAUAAAAAAUUAACACAGUGCUUGGCA